AUCCCUACUUUUGCUUGAAACAUAGUUUUAAAUCCAGGAGGGAAAAGGAGAAGAGAUCCAGCUGUCUGUCUAGAUGUGCCUUGGGUUCCAUAUGGGAAUGAGAGACUCGGAAUAAAACAGAGUCCUCCCGUCCCUGGCGCUCAGCACGACAUUUCGGUGGGUUAUAGCACUAUGGUCUCUAAAACACAGCCCCCCUUCCAAAUAGCUGGAGAGGCCGGGUAAUUGUGUUAGGCAGAGGAACCGCCUGAAGCUGGACCUAGCCCCACGAGUCUUUUCCGGUGAUGUGACUCCCUACCCAGCUGGGACGCUGUCUGCCUUCUGUGCCUUUGGCAUUUGACGGUAAUAAUGGCAGCAAUGAUGACAAUGUUGUGACAGGAUAAUUCACUGAACUAUGAGUUUGUGUAUAUCCUCUGAGCUUUUCCUCUCCCUUGUUUGAAUCGGAAAGCCACACUUUUAUUUUGUGGCCUUGCUUCAGCUGGGGGACGAAACAAAAGCCCUCUGAAGAUAGAUUCUUUCCUGAGUUUUUGAUAGCUACAAAACCUGACCUCCAGAGGGUAUUACAUUUUGGGAGUGACUUAAUUUUACUCAUCCUCCAGUAGAGCCUGAGAUAAGGACCUGAGAACAGCAGUGUGCGAGAGCAUUUGGGGUGAACUUUGGCAAUGACCAGGAGUGGGAGUUGACUAGUAUUCAAAGAAAGAGAUGUAAAAGAAAAUGGAGAUAAAGAAAAGAGGGAAAACACAGAUGUAGAGAAUUUGGAUUUCAGUUCAGCCCUUGGAUUAGUGCACAGGGGCCAUAUUUCUGGAUCAGAACUCAGGCCCAGGGCAUCAUCACAUCUGUCACCAAUAAAAAAUGAGCUUGGUUGUCACCUCAAACAAGGAGAACAGAAUCUAAGGAUUCUUAAGCCCAGGAUUCUCAAGCUCUGACUUCCUCAUUUCUUCUGAGGCUUCCCACUAGAUCUUUUAAAGUGCUCAACAAGGAGAUGGUUGGUUAGUUUCAUGAAAGAACUCAGUAAACAAUGAUUCCCAACCUUUGUAGGUCCCCACCCCUGUCUGAGACAGGCCAUUCCUCCAGAACACCAGGGGGAGCUGUUGUGCUGCCCAGUCCCAGCACCAAGAUGGCUCCCAUUGGAGUGUGGCUAUAGUCAUAUAUGUAUUCAAACCAUCAGGACCCUGCUAGUCACAGAGAGCCGAAUGUUUGAAACUGGGAUGGUCCUAGAGUUUCCAGAACUGUGGUGGUCAAUGACCAUGGAGGGAAAUGUAGUUUCUAUCAUAUCUGGAAGCUGCUAUCUCCCCAAACUUCCCCCUUUCACCUCAGUCCCCUGCUGUGUUUCACUUCUUGAUGAGGUCUACAAUAAAGUAAGUGAAAAGUGAAGCCAUCCUAAAGUAAUACCGGAGAGCAUCUUGGAAGGAAAAGAUGUAGACAGAAACGUCUCUGUCACCAUGUAGCUUACAUUCUGUGGCUCCUACUUCCUGGAAUGUCUUAUUCACUGAUAAUUUCCAAGGUUUCCUAAACCUGGGGUCAGAA